CAUGGCUCAGGAUGAACGCUGGCGGUAUGCCUAACACAUGCAAGUCGAACGGGCUCUUCGGAGCUAGUGGCGGACGGGUGAGGAACGCGUGAGAACCUGCCUCAAGGUCGGGGACAACAGUUGGAAACGACUGCUAAUACCGGAUGAGCCGAAUAGGUAAAAGAUUUAUCGCCUAGAGAGGGGCUCGCGUCUGAUUAGCUAGAUGGUGAGGUAAAGGCUUACCAUGGCGACGAUCAGUAGCUGGUCUGAGAGGAUGAGCAGCCACACUGGGACUGAGACACGGCCCAGACUCCUACGGGAGGCAGCAGUGGGGAAUUUUCCGCAAUGGGCGAAAGCCUGACGGAGCAAUACCGCGUGAGGGAGGAAGGCUCUUGGGUUGUAAACCUCAAAACUUAGGGAAGAAAAAAAUGACGGUACCUAAUGUAAGCAUCGGCUAACUCCGUGCCAGCAGCCGCGGUAAUACGGAGGAUGCAAGCGUUAUCCGGAAUCAUUGGGCGUAAAGAGUCCGUAGGUGGCACUUCAAGUCUGCUUUCAAAGACCGAAGCUCAACUUCGGAAAGGGAGUGGAAACUGAAGAGCUAGAGUAUAGUAGGGGUAGAGGGAAUUCCUAGUGUAGCGGUGAAAUGCGUAGAGAUUAGGAAGAACACCAGUGGCGAAGGCGCUCUACUGGGCAUAUACUGACACUGAGGGACGAAAGCUAGGGGAGCGAAAGGGAUUAGAUACCCCUGUAGUCCUAGCGGUAAACGAUGGAUACUAGGCGUAGUGCUGUUAGAAGGACUGUGCCGAAGCUAACGCGUUAAGUAUCCCGCCUGGGGAGUACGCACGCAAGUGUGAAACUCAAAGGAAUUGACGGGGACCCGCACAAGCGGUGGAGUAUGUGGUUUAAUUCGAUGCAACGCGAAGAACCUUACCAAGGCUUGACAUCCUGCGAAUCUUGGAGAAAUCUGAGAGUGCCUAAGGGAACGCAGAGACAGGUGGUGCAUGGCUGUCGUCAGCUCGUGUCGUGAGAUGUUGGGUUAAGUCCCGCAACGAGCGCAACCCUCGUCCUUAGUUGCCAGCAUUAAGUUGGGGACUCUAGGGAGACCGCCGGGGAGAACUCGGAGGAAGGUGGGGAUGACGUCAAGUCAGCAUGCCCCUUACGUCUUGGGCUACACACGUACUACAAUGGUUGGGACAAAGGGGAGCGAAACCGCGAGGUGGAGCGAAUCUCAUCAAACCCAGCCACAGUUCAGAUUGCAGGCUGAAACUCGCCUGCAUGAAGGAGGAAUCGCUAGUAAUCGCAGGUCAGCAUACUGCGGUGAAUCCGUUCCCGGGUCUUGUACACACCGCCCGUCACACCAUGGAAGUUGGUCACGCCCGAAGUCGUUAUUCUAACCCAAGUGGAAGGAGACGCCGAAGGUGGGACUAGUGACUGGGGUGAAGUCGU
rnacentral:rRNA from 1 species